GGCGCUGUGGCUUAGUUGGUUAAAGCUUCUGUCUAGUAAACAGGAGAUCCUGGGUCCAAAUCCCAGCAGUGCCU
rnacentral:tRNA from 1 species